UACAGAGGUCUCAAGCGUUGUUCGGAUUCAUUGGGCGUAAAGGGUGUGUAGGUGGCGCCGUAAGUCGGGGUGUGAAAUUUCGGAGCUUAACUCCGAAACUGCAUUCGAUACUGGCGUGCUUGAGGACUGGAGAGGAGACUGGAAUUCAUGGUGUAGCAGUGAAAUGCGUAGAGAUCAUGAGGAAGACCAGUGGCGAAGGCGGGUCUCUGGACAGUUCCUGACACUGAGACACGAAGGCCAGGGGAGCAAACGGG
rnacentral:rRNA from 1 species